rnacentral:rRNA from 1 species
UGGGGAAUCUUGGACAAUGGGCGCAAGCCUGAUCCAGCCAUGCCGCGUGAGUGAAGAAGGCCUUAGGGUCGUAAAGCUCUUUCGCCUGUGAUGAUAAUGACAGUAGCAGGUAAAGAAACCCCGGCUAACUCCGUGCCAGCAGCCGCGGUAAUACGGAGGGGGUUAGCGUUGUUCGGAAUUACUGGGCGUAAAGCGCGCGUAGGCGGAUUGGAAAGUUGGGGGUGAAAUCCCGAGGCUCAACCUCGGAACUGCCUCCAAAACUCCCAGUCUAGAGUUCGAGAGAGGUGAGUGGAAUUCCAAGUGUAGAGGUGAAAUUCGUAGAUAUUUGGAGGAACACCAGUGGCGAAGGCGGCUCACUGGCUCGAUACUGACGCUGAGGUGCGAAAGUGUGGGGAGCAAACAGGAUUAGAUACCCUGGUAGUCCACACCGUAAACGAUGAAUGCCAGUCGUCGGGCAGUAUACUGUUCGGUGACACACCUAAC